rnacentral:rRNA from 1 species
UCAGCUAGUUGGUGAGGUAAUGGCUCACCAAGGCGUCGACGGGUAGCCGGCCUGAGAGGGUGACCGGCCACACUGGGACUGAGACACGGCCCAGACUCCUACGGGAGGCAGCAGUGGGGAAUAUUGCACAAUGGGCGAAAGCCUGAUGCAGCAACGCCGCGUGAGGGACGACGGCCUUCGGGUUGUAAACCUCUUUUAGCAGGGAAGAAGCGAAAGUGACGGUACCUGCAGAAAAAGCACCGGCUAACUACGUGCCAGCAGCCGCGGUAAUACGUAGGGUGCAAGCGUUAUCCGGAAUUAUUGGGCGUAAAGAGCUCGUAGGCGGUUUGUCGCGUCUGCUGUGAAAACCCGAGGCUCAACCUCGGGCCUGCAGUGGGUACGGGCAGACUAGAGUGCGGUAGGGGAGAUUGGAAUUCCUGGUGUAGCGGUGGAAUGCGCAGAUAUCAGGAGGAACACCGAUGGCGAAGGCAGAUCUCUGGGCCGUAACUGACGCUGAGGAGCGAAAGGGUGGGGAGCAAACAGGCUUAGAUACCCUGGUAGUCCACCCCGUAAACGUUGGGAACUAGUUGUGGGGUCCAUUCCACGGAUUCCG